UACCCUCUCCCUGGUGAACUAUUUAGCAUAAGUGAAUAUGGAUAAAAUUGCCCAGAUGAACUGUUGCUCACUACAUAUUGCAUUUGUAGGUUAGAGUAAAUAACAUCUGAUAGAAAGUGUCAUUACAAUAAAAAAAAAAAACCAAGAGAGUUCCAGAUGCCCAGCGUUGUACCCAAGCUAAAGAUGAAGGAUGGCAUUUGGAAAGGGCAUAUCACAGGGACUGCAGAGCCUGAGCAUGGAGCGAUGACUC
rnacentral:lncRNA from 1 species